UACGUAGGGGGCAAGCGUUAUCCGGAUUUACUGGGCGUAAAGCGCGUUAAGGCGGCCGGCUAAGUUGGUGGUGAAAUUCCAGGGCUCAACCCUGGAACUGCCUCCAAUACUGGUCGGCUCGAGUGCGAGAGAGGAAGGUGGAAUUCCCGGUGUAGUAGUGAAAUGCGUAGAUAUCGGGAGGAACACCAGUGGCGAAGGCGGCCUUCUGGACCAGUACUGACGCUCAUGCACGAAAGCGUGGGGAGCAAACAGG
rnacentral:rRNA from 1 species